rnacentral:tRNA from 1 species
GCGAGAGUGGCGGAACAGGUAGACGCCCUGGACUUAGGAUCCAGUCCCGCUAAAGCGGGGUGGGGGUUCGAGUCCCCCCUCUCGCACCA